CCUACGGGAGGCAGCAGUGGGGGAUAUUGCACAAUGGGGGGAACCCUGAUGCAGCGACGCCGCGUGGGUGAAGAAGCGCCUCGGCGCGUAAAGCCCUGUCAGCAGGGAAGAAAAUGACGGUACCUGAAGAAGAACCCCCGGCUAACUACGUGCCAGCAGCCGCGGUAAUACGUAGGGGGCAAGCGUUAUCCGGAUUUACUGGGUGUAAAGGGGGCGCAGUCGGCGAUGCAAGCCAGGAGUGAAAGCCUGGGGCCCAACCCCGGGACUGCUCUUGGAACUGCGUGGCUGGAGUGCAGGAGGGGCAGGCGGAAUGCGUGGUGUAGCGGUGAAAUGCGUAGAUAUCAGGAGGAACACCGGUGGCGAAGGCAGCCUGCUGGACUGCAACUGACGUUGAGGCCCGAAAGCGUGGGGAGCAAACAGGAUUAGAUACCCUAGUAGUC
rnacentral:rRNA from 1 species